rnacentral:misc_RNA from 1 species
UUAAGCCUGUGCAGCCAUUGCUGUUUGAAUUACAAUGACCAGCAAGGUUGAUCAUAGGAAUCUGACCAUUGCCAAAAGUGGGCAGGAAAGCUAUAUUUACAAAGUCACAGUUUCCCGUGGCACAAGUCUCGGCAAAGGUCCCCUCGUUUCCAUUCUGACCCCAAUAUAUUGCUAUUCCCCCUGUUAGUAUUGAAAGACAAACUACAGAGGAAAGGAAUUGAUAGA